rnacentral:rRNA from 1 species
UGGGGAAUCUUGCGCAAUGGGCGAAAGCCUGACGCAGCCAUGCCGCGUGAAUGAUGAAGGUCUUAGGAUUGUAAAAUUCUUUCACCGGGGACGAUAAUGACGGUACCCGGAGAAGAAGCACCGGCUAACUUCGUGCCAGCAGCCGCGGUAAUACGAAGGGGGCUAGCGUUGCUCGGAAUUACUGGGCGUAAAGGGCGCGUAGGCGGAUCGUUAAGUCAGAGGUGAAAUCCCAGGGCUCAACCCUGGAACUGCCUUUGAUACUGGCGAUCUUGAGUAUGAGAGAGGUAUGUGGAACUCCGAGUGUAGAGGUGAAAUUCGUAGAUAUUCGGAAGAACACCAGUGGCGAAGGCGACAUACUGGCUCAUUACUGACGCUGAGGCGCGAAAGCGUGGGGAGCAAACAGG